UUAUCCUUUGUUGGAGGACGUGGCAAACUGGUCGUGGUGGCCGUGGUGGUCGCGGUUAAUCGGCUUUAUCCUUUGUGCUCUCUUUACCUAAUAUAACAUUUACUUAAGUGUAUGUUCUUCUCUUUUAAGUACUUCCAAAAACUAUAUAACCUCAAAGUCAUCUCUUUGUAAUUUUUUUAUGCAUUUAAUUUGAAAACCCUUUAACAAAAAAAAAAUAUAUAUAUAUAUAUAUAUAUAUAUAUAUAUAUAUAUAUAUAUUAUCAACCAAUAUUUUAUUACUUUUAAAGAUUUAGGCUGGGGUGGGGUUGACUUGAUGUUGUCAUGUUGAUGUUGAUACUAUUUUUUGCAUACACUGGUCCUCCUUUUCCAAAUUAAUCUCUCCAUUAGCUUUGUUUUUCUCUCAGCCCUUUUUAGCCCUGGCUCAAAGGCAGUAUAUAAAUAUAGAUAAAUUAAGACAACAAGCAUAAUUAAGAAUCAAAAGGUGUGUUAUCUAAACUCAAUAAAUCAUAAACUGGUUUGGUAUUUGACCAUGACUUGAUAUAGUCAGGUUUUACUUAAUCUACUAACCCACAGGCCACAAGCACAUUUGCAAGUGAUCCACAUUGAGUUUUUUCUUUUUUUUUUACCUUCACGUCUCUGGUGGUCGGUCACUCUUCUUUUAAUCUACUAACCCACAAGCAAAGUUGAUCCACGAUCCAUCUGUCCAUAUCCUUCCUCUUCAUUUUUCAUUUUUUAAUACUCUUCCGAAUAUUAGAUUGUGGGCUUCCAACUUAAAAUCAAUUGAAAAUGAAUAGAGAGACCCAUAUAUGUUUC
rnacentral:lncRNA from 1 species